UUUGGGGGUGGUCCCUCAGCCCGGAUUGUGAGACGGCGCAGGCCAGGCCGAGGGACCCCACUGGUGCAUG
rnacentral:pre_miRNA from 1 species